CCUACGGGAGGCAGCAGUGAGGAAUAUUGGUCAAUGGACGAGAGUCUGAACCAGCCAAGUAGCGUGAAGGAUGACUGCCCUAUGGGUUGUAAACUUCUUUUAUAUGGGAAUAAAAUGUUCCACGUGUGGGAUUUUGUAUGUACCAUCUGAAUAAGGAUCGGCUAACUCCGUGCCAGCAGCCGCGGUAAUACGGAGGAUCCGAGCGUUAUCCGGAUUUAUUGGGUUUAAAGGGAGCGUAGGUGGAUUGUUAAGUCAGUUGUGAAAGUUUGCGGCUCAACCGUAAAAUUGCAGUUGAAACUGGCAGUCUUGAGUACAGUAGAGGUGGGCGGAAUUCGUGGUGUAGCGGUGAAAUGCUUAGAUAUCACGAAGAACUCCGAUUGCGAAGGCAGUUCACUGGACUGCAACUGACACUGAGGCUCGAAAGUGUGGGUAUCAAACAGGAUUAGAUACCCCAGUAGUC
rnacentral:rRNA from 1 species